CCUAAUAAAGUAAGGCAGAGGUUUCUCUCAUCUGUGUGUGCAGACGGUAGGUGAAGAAGAAGAAGAAAUGUCAGACUAUCUACCUGAAGAAGUGUGGAUUCGUAAUAUCCUCCCAACACUAUCCAUCAAAACCCUCCUUCGAUGCACAAGCGUCUGCAAAUCAUGGGUAUUGGGUAGGACGAAAGCUCAAGGUCAAGGUCAAGGUCAAGACAAGGAAGCAGGGAAAGGUGGGAGUGGGAAAAUGAUAGAAGUGGAGGCAUUGUGGGACAGACCAAGAAACAGGUGAGGAAAGCUCUUCUGCGGGACAGUCAUCAGUUCCUGCAUAACUUCCACAGAGUUAGCUUUUGUUUUUUUGAUGCCUCACCCUUUUUGUAUUCCCUGUAGAACACAGACUUAGAAAGGCCUCCUUUUAUUUAAUUUGGUUUAUAAAACCUCUUAAACUUUCAUUAAUCUUUGCAUUAUCAUUUGAGUAGUGAUCGGGUUUUCUUAGGAAUUGUGAUGGAGUCAUAACUAAUAGUAUGACAAUCAUCCUUUAUCCCGUGAGGAUCCUCAUUGCUUGAUUUAUAUUCUGUUGGGGAGUAGUCAGUUUAGUUUCAGUGAUAAAACAGAGCAUUUAACAAGAAGGAAAUGUAUAAAAGGUUAAUCUCCAAGAUCGAAAAAGAGUAUUGCAAAGCUUGUAAGUUAAUGGCGCAGACAAUUGGUUCUAUAUUUUACCUGUA